CUAUCAACCCUAAUCUAGCCCUAUUUCCCUAGCUUUCUCUUCAAUUGGUACCAUCUCACAUCAAGUUACCGUUAGAAGCAAGAUUUGAGGAGGCAUGGAGAUAAAUCAGAACGUUGUGAAAUGAAUAUUUUGAAGUCUGCGUCAAUGGUACCUGCGAAUAUUGCUCUGCGAAACAAGGAAGGGAAGGACAAGGAACGAAACACAAUCUGGGAGGGCCUAAACUCGGUUUAUACCGGCGAUAUCAUUCUCAAAUCUCAAAAAAAUUAUCUCUGAUAAUCCCCAUUAUCACUUAUUGAUCUUGUAACUCCAUUGUUCAUCGUUGAAUCUCUGAACCUUUCAUACUCUGUCUUGAAUGAUACCCCAUGUUUUCAUGAAAACCUAGUUUCCUGACGAAAUAUUGUCCAAUACCUGGAACAUAAAAUAUUUGUUUAAGCAUAAUCCUGAGAUAUCUGGGUAACAUUUUCACCGGCUGAAAUUACCAUCUCUGUGUGUGCAUUUGUGAACUUUUGAAAUACUAAUAACUGUAUGCAUGCUUUCAUAGA